rnacentral:misc_RNA from 1 species
ACACCUCAACUCUCAUGGUCUUCCGUGACGAGCUUGGACUUUGGGGGUUUGCUGGCCCUGCGGCCGGCUCCUCUCAAACAAAUCAGCUUGCCAGUGUUUGGCGGCAUCUCACGGGUGUGAUAACUAUCUACGCUCGCGGCUGUCUGCCAGGUAACCCUCAGCGAUGAAGGUUCAUUGGGGCUCAUAAACGUCUCUCCUCAGUGAAGACAGCUUUUUGAAC